GGCUUGAUGGUCUAGUAGUAUGAUUCCUGCUUCGGGUUUACCAGCUGCGUUGCAUCUUGCAGGAGGUCCCGGGUUCAAUUCCCGGUCAAGCCC